GAUGAACGCUAGCUACAGGCUUAACACAUGCAAGUCGAGGGGUAACGAGAGGGAAGCUUGCUUUCCUUGUCGACGACCGGCGCACGGGUGAGUAACGCGUAUCCAACCUGCCCCCAACUAGGGAAUAACCUUGCGAAAGUAAGACUAAUACCCUAUAAUUUCCUCAGAUGUCAUCUGACGAGGAAUAAAGAUUUAUCGGUUGUGGAUGGGGAUGCGUCUGAUUAGCUUGUUGGCGGGGUAACGGCCCACCAAAGCAACGAUCAGUAGGGGUUCUGAGAGGAAGGUCCCCCACAUUGGAACUGAGACACGGUCCAAACUCCUACGGGAGGCAGCAGUGAGGAAUAUUGGUCAAUGGGCGGAAGCCUGAACCAGCCAAGUAGCAUGCAGGAUGACGGCCCUAUGGGUUGUAAACUGCUUUUAUACAGGAAUAAAGUUAGCCACGUGUGGUUAUUUGUAGGUACUGUAUGAAUAAGGACCGGCUAAUUCCGUGCCAGCCGCCGCCGUAA
rnacentral:rRNA from 1 species